rnacentral:rRNA from 1 species
UACGGGGGGGCAAGCGUUGUUCGGAAUUACUGGGCGUAAAGGGCUCGUAGGUGGCCAACUAAGUCAGACGUGAAAUCCCUCAGCUUAACUGGGGAACUGCGUCUGAUACUGGAUGGCUUGAGUUUGGGAGAGGGAUGCGGAAUUCCAGGUGUAGCGGUGAAAUGCGUAAAUAUCUGGAGGAACACCGGUGGCGAAGGCGGCGACCUGGUCCGUGACUGACGCUGAGGCGCGAAAGCGUGGGGAGCAAACAGG